GACGAACGCUGGCGGCGUGCCUAACACAUGCAAGUCACGGGGGGUAGCAAUACCAACCGGCGAACGGGUGCGGAACACGUGAGCAAUCUGCCGAUUACUGGGGGAUAGCCGGGCCAACGC
rnacentral:rRNA from 1 species